rnacentral:rRNA from 1 species
UAGGGAAUCUUCCACAAUGGACGAAAGUCUGAUGGAGCAACGCCGCGUGAGUGAUGAAGGGUUUCGGCUCGUAAAACUCUGUUGUUGGAGAAGAACAGGUGAUAGAGUAACUGUUAUCAUCUUGACGGUAUCCAACCAGAAAGCCACGGCUAACUACGUGCCAGCAGCCGCGGUAAUACGUAGGUGGCAAGCGUUGUCCGGAUUUAUUGGGCGUAAAGCGAGCGCAGGCGGUUUUUUAGGUCUGAUGUGAAAGCCUUCGGCUUAACCGGAGAAGGGCAUCGGAAACCGGGAGACUUGAGUGCAGAAGAGGACAGUGGAACUCCAUGUGUAGCGGUGAAAUGCGUAGAUAUAUGGAAGAACACCAGUGGCGAAGGCGGCUGCCUGGUCUGUAACUGACGCUGAGGCUCGAAAAGCAUGGGUAGCGAACAGGAUUAGAUACCCUGGUAGUCCAUGCCGUAAACGAUGAGUGCUAAGUGUUGGAGGGUUUCCGCCCUUCAGUGCUGCAGCUAACGCAUUAAGCACUCCGCCUGGGGGAGUACGACCGCAAGGUUGAAAC